AAUGGGGGAAACCCUGAUGCAGCGACGCCGCGUGAACGAUGAAGCCCUUCGGGGUGUAAAGUUCUUUCGACAGGAACGAUAAUGACGGUACCUGGAGAAGAAGCUGCGGCUAACUACGUGCCAGCAGCCGCGGUAAUACGUAGGCAGCAAACGUUGUUCGGAAUUAUUGGGCGUAAAGAGUGUGUAGGCGGUUUUGUAAGUUUGGUGUGAAAUCUCCCGGCUUAACUGGGAGGGUGCGCCGAAUACUGCAAGACUUGAGUACUGGAGAGGAUAGCGGAAUUCCUGGUGUAGCGGUGAAAUGCGUAGAUAUCAGGAGGAACACCGGCGGUGUAGACGGCUAUCUGGACAGUCACUGACGCUGAGACACGAAAGCGUGGGUAGCAAA
rnacentral:rRNA from 1 species